rnacentral:rRNA from 1 species
UACGUAGGGUGCGAGCGUUAAUCGGAAUUACUGGGCGUAAAGCGUGCGCAGGCGGUUCGUUGUGUCGGCGGUGAAAGCCCCGGGCUUAACCUGGGAAUGGCAUUGGAAACUGGCUCGCUGGAGUGUGGCAGAGGGGGUGGAAUUCCGCGGUGUAGCAGCGAAAUGCGUAGAGAUGCGGAGGAACACCGAUGGCGAAGGCAGCCCCCUGGGCUAACACUGACGCCUCAGGCACGAAAGCGUGGGGAGCGAACAGG